GCCAGUAUAUCUCUGAGGGGACAGACUUGAAGAUAGAUUAAUUGACCUCUUUACGGGACCAAAGCUUUUUUAGCGAUGAAUUUUUGUCUAAUGGUCGCAAUCCUUCUUUGCAUUCCGACUGCAGAUUCAGUUUUAGGCCGAGCUGUUUGUGGAACUCAACCAUACAAUCCUGGUUAUCAAAUAUGCUGCAAUGGAGUAAUUAAUGGGAAAGGUACGAACAAUCUUUGCUGUGGAACUCGUUCAUACAACCCUGGUUAUCAAAUCUGCUGCAAUAAUGUAGUUAAUGGGAAAGGCUUGAACAUCCUUUGCUGUGGAACUCGUUCAUACAACCCUGGUUAUCAAAUCUGCUGCAAUGGAGUAAUAAAUGGGAAGGGUACGAACAAUCUUUGCUGUGGAACUCGGUCAUACAAUCCUGCUUAUCAAAACUGCUGCAAUGGAGUAAUAAAGGGGAAAAGUUCGAACAAUCAUUGCUGAGGAACUAAAGCUUUUAAUCCUACUUUAAACCGUUGCUGCAGUGGUGUUAUUUGUUAGAUAAUAUCU